GGCUCUUGGCCAUGUGUAGGUUCGCCGAAGCAUGCCUCGAGUACCGGCCGCCGAUUCAAUCCCGCCGCGGUGCUCUUAACUGAGUGUCGAGGUGGGCCGGCACGUUUACUUUGAACAAAUUAGAGUGCUUAAAGCAGGCUGAUUUCUGCCUGAAUACUGUGUGCAUGGAAUAAUGGAAUAGGACUUCGGUUCUAUUUUGUUGGUUUUAAGAAUCCGAAGUAAUGAUUAAUAGGGACAGGCGGGGGCAUUCGUAUUGCGACGUUAGAGGUGAAAUUCUUGGAUCGUCGCAAGACGUACCUAAGCGAAAGCAUUUGCCAAGUAUGUCCUCGUUAAUCAAGAACGAAAGUUAGAGGUUCGAAGGCGAUCAGAUACCGCCCUAGUUCUAACCAUAAACGAUGCCAGCCAGCGAUCCGCCAGUGUUCCUCCGAUGACUUGGCGGGCAGCUUCCGGGAAACCAAAGCUUUUGGGUUCCGGGGGAAGUAUGGUUGCAAAGCUGAAACUUAAAGGAAUUGACGGAAGGGCACCACCAGGAGUGGAGCCUGCGGCUUAAUUUGACUCAACACGGGAAACCUCACCAGGCCCGGACACCGGAAGGAUUGACAGAUUGAUAGCUCUUUCUUGAUUCGGUGGGUGGUGGUGCAUGGCCGUUCUUAGUUGGUGGAGCGAUUUGUCUGGUUAAUUCCGAUAACGAACGAGACUCUAGCCUGUUAACUAGGCGUCUCCGGUAUCCACAAUAGUGCUACCGGCGAAUAAAUAUCUUCUUAGAGGGACAGGCGGCUUCUAGCCGCACGAGACUGAGCAAUAACAGGUCUGUGAUGCCCUUAGAUGUCCUGGGCCGCACGCGCGCUACACUGAAGGAAUCAGCGUGUCUUCCCUGGCCGAAAGGUCCGGGUAACCCGUUGAACCUCCUUCGUGCUAGGGAUUGGGGCUUGCAAUUGUUCCCCAUGAACGAGGAAUUCCCAGUAAGCGCGAGUCAUAAGCUCGCGUUGAUUACGUCCCUGCCCUUUGUACACACCGCCCGUCGCUACUACCGAUUGAAUGAUUUAGUGAGGUCUUCGGACUGGUGCGCGGUGAUCGCCUCGUGUGGUCACCGA
rnacentral:rRNA from 1 species